GCGGGAUGGGGUGCGGGGGAUGGAGUGCCGGGGGAUGGAGUGAGCGGGAUGGAGUGCCGUGGGAUGGAGUGCCGGGGGAUGGAUUCCCAGGAUACGGAGUGCCGGGUGGUGUGCCGGAGGAUGACGUGGUUGGGAUGGAUUCUCAGGGGACGGUGUGCCGGGGGAUGGCGUGUUUGGGAUAGAUUCCCAGGGGAUGGAGUGCCGGGAUGAUGAGCCAGAGGAUGGCGUGGUUGGGAUGGAUUCCCAGGAUACGGAGUGCCGGGAUGAUGUGCGGGAGGAUGGAUGCUGUGUGCCGGGAUGGUGUGCCGGAGGAUGGAUGCUGUGUGUGCCCCGGUCGGUGUGCCGGAGGAUGGAUGCUGUGUGUGCCCCGGUCGGUGUGCGGGAGGAUGGAUGCUGUGUGUGCCCCGGUCGGUGUGCCGGCAGCAUCCCGCGGCGGGCGGCGCGGUGCCGGUGUGCGGGGGAUGGCGGGGACGGGAGCGGGGGAUGGCGGUGCCGGGGGCCGGUGCGCAUGGAGGCGGGCGCGACCUGCAGGGGACAGGCGGAGGAGCGGCAGCGGAGUGCCGGGAACGUGAAUGAUCUGGUUUGAAUGACCUGUAGUGCUUGAGGGCUCUGUGAGCCGAUUGCAGGGUCCGAAGGACCAGCCGGGAACGCGGCGGGGCCCGGCCGGGCGGUUCCGGUCCGGCGGUUCGGGGCGAGAGAGGCGGCGCUCGCUGCCUGAGCAUCCCCUCGCUCCUGGUGUUUGCUGGCCGCUUAUCCCUCGGGGAACAACACAGCCACAUUGCACCCCUCGGCAUCCCUCUUCGGCAUCCUUAGAGGGAUAUUUCACAGUGUCAUUUAGGUUGGAAAACACCUCUGGGAUCCCUGAAUCCAGCCUUUGACCACCACCCCUAGUCAAACAGAGCAUGUCACUGAGCGCCGUGCCCAGUCAUUUCUCAAAACUGCGGGGAUGGUGACGCCACCGCCUCCCCGGGCAGUCCCUUCCCUUGUUUAACAACUUUCUGUGAAGAAAUUCCUCGUGAUGUCCAACCUUCCCUGGUGCAUCCUGAGGCCGUGUCCUCUAGUCCUGUCACUCCUUGCCUGGGGGCUUAGGCUGAGCCUACCUGGCUACAACCAAAAAGGAAGAUGAGGAGUUACUGACCGGAAUGUAGACAGCUCUUGGUUUUUGCCCCCAGUACACACAUUGCCCUCACCAAUGUGAAACGUUUUCAUCAGUCUUUAAGAGGGCAAAUUCUAAUCCAGCACACUUAAAGAACACAAAAUAUUGCCCCCAAAUUUGUCUAUGUUCAUGCACAAUUUCUGUGCCGAAGGAACGCCAAAUACAGAGAAAACAUGGUGAGAGGGGAGUUAAUUGGGCUGAGGAAAGGUCAUAAAAGUAAAACAGAGGCAUAAAAGGACAGAAAAAAUGCUUAUUAAAAUCAUAGCAUUGCAUCUGAAACAUAUAAAAUAUAGUCAAUAUUUUCUAAAAAACCCAUUUCUUAAAAUGGAUUUUUUUAAAAAAAUAAAAAUAACCAUUUCUGAACAUUUGCAUACAUAUCAU
rnacentral:lncRNA from 12 species